CCUACGGGAGGCAGCAGUGGGGAAUAUUGCACAAUGGGGGAAACCCUGAUGCAGCGACGCCGCGUGAGUGAAGAAGUUUUUCGGCACGUAAAGCUCUAUCAGCAGGGAAGAACCAACACGGUACCUGACUAAGAAGCCCCGGCUAACGACGUGCCAGCAGCCGCGGUAAUACGUAGGGGGCAAGCGUUCUUCGGAAUUACUGUGUGUAAAGGGAGCGUAGACGGUAUGGCAAGUCUGAUGUGAAAGCCCAGGGCUUAACCCUGGGACUGCUUUGGAAACUGUUAGACUAGAGUGCUGGAGAGGUAAGUGGAAUUCCUAGUGUAGGGGUGAAAUGCGUAGAUAUUAGGAGGAACACCAGUGGCGAAGGCGGCUUACUGGACAGUAACUGACGUUGAGGCUCGAAAGCGUGGGGAGCAAACAGGAUUAGAUACCCGUGUAGUC
rnacentral:rRNA from 1 species